CUCAGCAAGUUCCCCUGAAAUUUGGGCUGCUGCUUGGGUAAAUAUCCCAUGAUGGGGGUUCCAUUCUAGGAGUGGACUGGCAGGCUGAGCCUCCCAUGGAGCUGAUCCAGCCAGGAUAGAGAGAAGGGGAGGCAAAGGCUGAGACAGAACCAGCUUGAGAGCGGAGGCGCAACUCUUGUCUCCUGGUGGCCUUGAGCAUUUCACAAUAGGGGGAUAAAGAAUAGGAGCAGAAAAGUGGGGCUGACAUCAGAAAUGGGGUCCUCUAGAGCUCACAGGAGGGUGUUAGAUUGGAGUGGGAGCUUAGUGGAGGUGAGCCUUAGAGGCAAAAGUCUCCAGACCAAUCCAGGGCCCCUCUUCUAUCCGGGGGGCCCUCUUCUAUCCAGGGCCCCUCUUCUGUCUGGGAGCCCCCUCUUCUGUCUGGGAGCCCCCUCUUCUAUCCAGGGCCUCAUGCAGUGGGGCCUAGGGGAGGUUCUCUGAGGACUUGGCCUUGAUGACAGGGUGGCUGGAGGAAUCAGAACGGUCAGACCUUCUUUGACCUGCGGGCACCUUUAGUUGGAAUGGUCAGGCCUGGGAUGGUGGAGGGGGCUCUUGUGGGUGGGGACUGGGGUGGCAGGGAGGAGGCUGUCUGCAUGGCCGCGACAUCUCCUUUGGCUGGGGGCGUCAGGGCUGGAGAGGUGUGAAGAGUUCUUGAGGCCUCGAUGUGUCUCACUCCAGCUCACCAGGUCUGCAUUUGCCCGUCCCCAGCUCCUGCUGCCACCUCUGGCCGUUUUAGGCACUUGGCUCCCUUGGCCCAGAGGAGCUUGCCUCACAGGCCUGUGCACCUCUGACCCCUGUGAACCAGUUUUCCUUUGUGCCUCCACAGCCACAGCCUGGCAGCUCUGACCAGGAAAGUGAGGAACAGCAACAAUUCUGGAACAUUUUCAAGCAGAUAGCAGGAGAUGACAUGGAGAUCUGUGCAGACGAGCUCAAGAAGGUCCUUAACACAGUCGUGAACAAACACAAGGACCUGAAGACACAUGGGUUCACACUGGAGUCCUGCCGUAGCAUGAUUGCGCUCAUGGAUACAGAUGGCUCUGGAAAGCUCAACCUGCAAGAGUUCCACCACCUCUGGAACAAGAUUAAGGCCUGGCAGAAAAUUUUCAAACACUAUGACACAGACCAGUCCGGCACCAUCAACAGCUACGAGAUGCGAAAUGCAGUCAACGACGCAGGAUUCCACCUCAACAACCAGCUCUAUGACAUCAUUACCAUGCGGUAUGCAGACAAACACAUGAACAUUGACUUCGACAGUUUCAUCUGCUGCUUCGUUAGGCUGGAGGGCAUGUUCAGAGCUUUUCAUGCAUUUGACAAGGAUGGAGAUGGUAUCAUCAAACUCAACGUUCUGGAGUGGCUGCAGCUCACCAUGUAUGCCUGAACCAGGCUGGCCUCAUCCAAAGCCAUGCAGGAUCACUCAGGAUUUCAGUUGCACCCUCUAUUUCCAAAGCCACUUACCUCAAAGGACCCAGCAGCUACACCCCUACAGGCUUCCAGGCACCUCAUCAGUCAUGUUCCUCCUCCAUUUUAACCCCUACCCAUCCUUGAUCGGUCAUGCCUAGCCUGACCCUUUAGAAAAGCAAUGAGGUAGGAAGAACAAACCCUUGUCCCUUUGCCACGUGGAGGAAAGUGCCUGCCUCUGGUCCGAGCCGCCUCGGUUCUGAAGCGAGUGCUCCUGCUUACCUUGCUCUAGGCUGUCUGCAGAAGCACCUGCCGGUGGCACUCAGCACCUCCUUGUGCUAGAGCCCUCCAUCACCUUCACGCUGUCCCACCAUGGGCCCAGUGCUGGGCUUCUGCUGGUUAUUUUAGGAGAGGCCUGCUGUGGGGUAAACUAACUCAGUGGAAUAGGGCUGGUUACUUUGGGCUGUCCAACUCAUAAGUUUGGCUGCAUUUUGAAAAAAGCUGAUCUAAAUAAAGGCAUGUGUAUGGUGGUCC
rnacentral:sRNA from 1 species